GUGCUUUCGGCACUGCAGUCUUGUACCGUCUCUGUGUGUCUGUAUGUUUCUUUGUGUUCAUCCCCCGUUCUGCAAUAGGGCUGCAACAAGUGGCACAGCGAGCAGGGUCUGUGUCAUUCAGGAUGGAGGGACUGAAGAGGCACCUCUUUGGCCAUCGCUUUCCCAGUUCGGCCUUCUGCCCCUCCAGUGGGAUGAAACUUUAGAAUUCCUUUUACCCAAGGGCCAGAUGAUGAAUUCCCCUUGCCCCCUGACUUUGAUGAUCAUCCUCUGAAACCAGAUCCUAACGUUAUUAUUCCUCGAUCCUUUGCAUUUCCCAUUACUCAUCAAGUGCCUCCUGGCCAAGAUCCCAAUCUCCCUAAUGGAGGAUGGAAUGUACAAUAUCAGGCUUUGCAAUACAAAUUUUUAAAGGAA